CUGAGCUGGGCAAUGGGGAAUGUAUUUCUUAAAGAUGGCUAGAAAGUUCUUCAGUUCCUCACUUGCAACAAAAAGCACUCAAGAUGAAGAUCAGCUACAACUCACAGACGUUUCCAAUGGGCUGGCUGCACAAAAUUCGUCUGUUGUGAAAAGAUAUUGAAAAUACAGAUAGGAACACCAUUCAUUCAAAAGUACUACAGAGGUGUUUUAAUGUAUAUGUAUAGAUCACUCUAGUUUUUGCUACAGUUUCUGAUUACUAAAGAAUUAUGUUCUCUAUGCAACACCAACUAAAGCAAUGAGUCUGCAAAGAAUUCUGUGUACUUUGUUAACCUCAUACAAAUCAACUUCUGUUAACCUCACUGGGAAUAUUCAUAUACAUAAUCUUUUGAAGAAUUAAGAUUUGAAGUAUG
ensembl:lncRNA